rnacentral:rRNA from 1 species
UACAGAGGUCUCAAGCGUUUGUUCGGAUUCAUUGGGCGUAAAGGGUGCGUAGGUGGCGUCGUAAGUCGGGUGUGAAAUUUCGGAGCUUAACUCCGAAACUGCAUUCGAUACUGGCGUGCUUGAGGACUGGAGAGGAGACUGGAAUUCAUGGUGUAGCAGUGAAAUGCGUAGAGAUCAUGAGGAAGACCAGUGGCGAAGGCGGGUCUCUGGACAGUUCCUGACACUGAGACACGAAGGCCAGGGGAGCAAACGGG